GGGGUGGACAAAGGCUAAUACACUCUACUUUUCUCCUCCUCCCUGUUUUGGAUAUGAAUGAAAUGUCUGGAGAAGAAAUAGACAAUAGGAGAGAUAAGGUAAAAGCUAACAAAAUUGCAGAAACAUUGGCCUUGAUACUGCUUAACCACUGAAACGAUACCAGCAAAUGCCCAUCCCUGGACUUCUUUUCAAGUAAAUAAAAACAGCAGCAACAACAACUUGCACUCUCUUUUUAAGACACUGAAUUUAAUUUUUUGUUUGUUAUUUCUAGAGCUAUUCCUAACAGACAUGAAAUGAAAUCAUUCUGCAUUUUUGCAACAUGACCAGUGUUCUUCUAGCAUGAGGACAUCAUCUGCACUCAAUGAUUACAGCGUGAGGACUGGAUGUCAGAUCACACAAGUUUCCCUUCUGGUUUGAUUACACCACAUCACCCUGAUCAUGUUGCUGCUCACUUCUCCCACCUGUAAGAUGAGGAAGAAAAAUAGAGUGACAGGAAGUUGUGCACUGAGGGCCCCAGAAUCUUCACUUCUUCUGGACACAGAACUCCCUUUUGAAUGAGAUGGGUGCAAGAACACCAUUCUGCCUGGAAUCGUUUCUUCUUCCGUAUGUUAGUAGCCAGUUUCAAUACAUUUUGAUAUUUUAUUGGCAUAUUCCACCUCUGGAAAGUUUUUCUGGACUAAAUGCAAAGAAGAUAUACUGAAGUCUAAUUCAUCUAUCAAGUCAAGAAUCUACUCUUAAUUUAAAAAGAAAAAAAAGAAAGAAAAAAAAUCACAA